GGAGCCCAGGAGAGCCGCUCCCCGGGGACCGACGGUAACCAACUGCCGAAGCGCCAGCCGCCCGCCAGGAGAACAGGGAUGACCUUUGACCCCCGGGAUCUGUGUCGACCGCCUCAGCUGCAGCAAACCGUGCCUAAGCCGGGGAAGACGGAGCGAGGAGCCCCCAGACUACAGGCCCUUCUACUGUCGGAGCUUCCUGUUCCAGCUACUACACAGGAUGUGAGUGGUACCUGAGCUAACCACAGAGUAUUUUCAUCAUCAUCCCCAUCAUCAUCAUGUCUCCAUCCACCCCUCGUGCACCUGCCCCUGCCCCUGCCCCUUCUCCUGGUGA